rnacentral:rRNA from 1 species
ACUCAAAUGAAUUGACGGGGGCCCGCACAAGCGGCGGAGCAUGUGGCUUAAUUCGACGCAACGCGAAGAACCUUACCAAGGCUUGACAUACACCGGAAACGGCCAGAGAUGGUCGCCCCCUUGUGGUCGGUGUACAGGUGGUGCAUGGCUGUCGUCAGCUCGUGUCGUGAGAUGUUGGGUUAAGUCCCGCAACGAGCGCAACCCUUGUUCUGUGUUGCCAGCGAGUAAUGUCGGGGACUCACAGGAGACUGCCGGGGUCAACUCGGAGGAAGGUGGGGACGACGUCAAGUCAUCAUGCCCCUUAUGUCUUGGGCUGCACACGUGCUACAAUGGCCGGUACAAUGAGCUGCGAUACCGCGAGGUGGAGCGAAUCUCAAAAAGCCGGUCUCAGUUCGGAUUGGGGUCUGCAACUCGACCCCAUGAAGUCGGAGUCGCUAGUAAUCGCAGAUCAGCAUUGCUGCGGUGAAUACGUUCCCGGGCCUUGUACACACCGCCCGU